UCCCAGGUGGCUGAGUUGUAAAGAAUCUGCCUGAGAUGCAGAAGACUUCAGUUCAGUCCCUGGCUUGGGAA
rfam:Ovis aries breed Texel chromosome 6, whole genome shotgun sequence.